AUUGAACGCUGGCGGCAGGCCUAACACAUGCAAGUCGAGCGGCUGAAGGGAGCUUGCUCCUGGAAUCAGCGGCGGACGGGUGAGUAAUGACUAGGAAACUGCCUGGUAGUGGGGGAUAACGUCCGGAGACGGGCGCUAAUACCGCAUACGUCCUGAAGUAGAAAGUGGGGGACCUUCGGAACUCACGCUAUCAGAUGAGCCUAGGUCGGAUUAGCUAGUUGGUGGGGUAAAGGCCUACCAAGGCGACGAUCCGUAACUGGUCUGAGAGGAUGACCCGUCACACUGGAACUGAGACACGGUCCAGACUCCUACGGGAGGCAGCAGUGGGGAAUAUUGGACAAUGGGCGAAAGCGUGAUCCAGCCAUGCCGCGUGUGUGAAGAAGGUCUUCGGAUUGUAAAGCACUUUAAGUUGGGAGGAAGGGCAGUAAGAUAAACCCUUCCUGUUUUGACGGUACCUACAGAAUAAGCCCCGGCUAACUACGUG
rnacentral:rRNA from 1 species